rnacentral:lncRNA from 1 species
ACCGUCCCGUUGUUGGUUAAUUAUCAAAUUUAGCUCUUUAAAUAAAUGACUUAAACAGUUAAUUGGUUCAGUUACUUAUCACCUUUGAAUUCAUAUGGUUUUAUGAAUGUAAUAAUGAAUUUGGGAUUUAUGUGAAAUGGAAAUAGUUUUCUACCCCUCAUGGUAGCGAAUUUUUAAAGAAAAAAGGGUUUCCGUGUGGGAAACUAUUUUUAAAAGAUUUUUUUGGUUUUCACGGUUUAGUAUUUUAAAAUGAGUUUCCGGGUAGAAAAUAUUUUAAAUUGAUAAAAUAUGAAUUGAUGAAUAUUUGUGAUGAAAUAAAUAUGGUUAUGAACGGUNGGAAAUAGUUUUCUACCCCUCAUGGUAGCGAAUUUUUAAAGAAAAAAGGGUUUCCGUGUGGGAAACUAUUUUUAAAAGAUUUUUUUGGUUUUCACGGUUUAGUAUUUUAAAAUGAGUUUCCGGGUAGAAAAUAUUUUAAAUUGAUAAAAUAUGAAUUGAUGAAUAUUUGUGAUGAAAUAAAUAUGGUUAUGAACGGUGUAUGAUUAUCUGUGGAUGUUCAUAUGUGUGGUUGUAUUUGGUAUAGUAAAAUGUAUCAUGUACUUUUACGAUGCUGUGCAAAUACAGGGGAGAUUCUGUCCAAGUGAACAGUGGACUUCCUGUAUUUGUGGCGGAUAUGGCAUACCCUAGGGGUCAAUAUUUUUUUUAAAAAAAAAUUGGGCACUUCUGCAUGGAAU